rnacentral:lncRNA from 1 species
UUUUUGUUCUUUGUUUUGUUUUGUUUUUGUUUUCUUUCAAAAAAAAAUUGCAUUUUUGUUGAAAGUUUUAGGCUAUAGAAUAAUUUGAGGUUGGUUUGUAGAGACUUGGGAAAAGUUCAUAAGAUCGGUAUCGUUUUAACACCUUAAAUCUCCUGAAUAUGAAAAUCAUUUUGAAUACUUAUUAUGACAGCCUUGAGUUCUCAUUUUUCUUAUAGCUCUUGAGUAGUUUAUUUUAGCAGUCAGCACCAUCUCACACGCACUCUACACAGGGAAGCCGAUGAAUAUAAGUGAGUGCUCCGAAAAAAAAAACAAGGAAUGCACCUUCUAAGUUUGGUGACCCUCACCCAGUCACUUAACCCAACGGAUGUAGAACCUUCAAAUUUUUUUUUGAAAAUAAGACUAGUUGUC